GACGAACGCUGGCGGCGUGCUUAACACAUGCAAGUCGAACGCUGAAGCUUGGUGCUUGCACUGGGUGGAUGAGCGGCGAACGGGUGAGUAAUACGUGAGUAACCUGCCCUUGACUCUGGGAUAAGCCUGGGAAACUGGGUCUAAUACUGGAUACGACAUGCCACUGCAUGGUGGAGUGUGGAAAGGGAUUUACUGGGUUUGGAUGGGCUCACGGCCGAUUAGCUUGUUGGUGGGGUAAUGGCCUACCAAGGCGACGACGGGUAGCCGGCCUGAGAGGGUGACCAGCCACACUGGGACUGAGGCACGGCGCAGACGCCUACGGGAGGCAACGGUGGGGAAUAUUGCACAGUGGGCGGGAGCCUGAUGCGGCGGCGCCGCGUGAGGGAUGACGGCCUUCGGGUUAUAAACCUCUUUCAGCACGGAAGAAGCGGGAGUGACGGUACGUACAGAAGAAGCGCCGGCUAACUACGUG
rnacentral:rRNA from 1 species